UACGUAGGCAGCAAGCGUUGUUCGGAGUUACUGGGCGUAAAGGGUGCGCAGGUGGCGGCGCGCGUGGGGGGUGAAAUCGCCCGGCUUAACUGGGCGGGGGCCUUCCAGACGGCGUGGCUUGAGCAGCGGAGGGGGACGUGGAAUUCCGGGUGGAGCGGUGAAAUGCGUAGAGAUCCGGAGGAACACCGACGGCGCAGGCAGCGUCCUGGCCGCUUGCUGACACUGAGGCACGAAAGCUGGGGGGAGCAAACAGG
rnacentral:rRNA from 1 species